rnacentral:rRNA from 1 species
CCCUUAGAUGUCCUGGGCCGCACGCGCGUUACACUGAUGCAUUCAACGAGCUUAUAACCUUGGCCGAGAGGCCUGGGCAAUCUUGUUAACGUGCAUCGUGAUAGGGAUAGAUUAUUGAAAUUAUUAAUCUUGAACGAGGAAUUCCUAGUAAACGCAGAUCAUCAAUCUGCAUUGAUUACGUCCCUGCCCUUUGUACACACCGCCCGUCGCACCUACCGAUUGGAUGGUCCGGUGAAGCCUCGGGAUUGUGGUUCUUGCCGCUUUAUUGUGGCGUGACCGCGAGAACUUGUCUAAACCUCAUCAUCUAGAGGAAGGUGAAGUCGUAACA